rnacentral:rRNA from 1 species
ACAUGUCUUUUUGGUUAUUUAAUAUAAAGUCUGACCUGCCCACUGAAUAUAAUUUUAAAGGGCCGCAGUAUUUUGACUGUGCAAAGGUAGCAUAAUCAUUAGUCUUUUAAUUGAAGGCUGGUAUGAAUGGUUGGAUGAGGUACAAGCUGUGUCAUAAAAAUUAAUAUUUGAAUUUACCUUUUUAGUCAAAAGGCUAAAAUUUUAUUAAAAGACGAGAAGACCCUAUAGAGCUUUAUAUAGUUAAUAUUUAGAUUAUUAAUAUUUUUUAAAUUUAAUUAUUUUAUUAUAUUUUGUUGGGGUGACAAUAAAAUUUAUAAAACUUUUAUUAUUAUUAUUCAUUAAUUUAUGUUUAAAUGAUCCAAUUUUAUUGAUUAUAAAUUUAAGUUACCUUAGGGAUAACAGCGUAAUUUUUUUUGAGAGUUCUUAUCGACAAAAAAGAUUGCGACCUCGAUGUUGGAUUAAGAGUAAUUUUGGGUGUAGAAGUUCAAAGUUUAAGUCUGUUCGACUUUUAAAUUCUUACAUGAUC